rnacentral:rRNA from 1 species
AUUGAACGCUGGCGGCAGGCCUAACACAUGCAAGUCGAACGAGUGGCGGACGGGUGAGUAAUGUCUGGGAAACUGCCCGAUGGAGGGGGAUAACUACUGGAAACGGUCGCUAAUCCCGCAUACCAUCGGAUGUGCCCCGAUGGGAUUAGCGAGUAGGUGGGGUAACGGCUCACCUAGGCGACGAGCCCUAGCUGGUCUGAGAGGAUGAACAGCAAGACUGGAACUGAGACACGGUCCAGACUCCUACGGGAGGCAGCAGUGGGGAAGAGUGCACAGUGGGCGCAAGCCUAAUGCAGCCAUGCCGCGUGUAUGAAGAAGGCCUUCGGGUUGUAAAGUACUUUCAGCGAGGAGGCGUGACUCGCAGAAGAAGCACCGGCUAACUCCGUGCCAGCAGCCGCGGUAAUUC